rnacentral:rRNA from 1 species
GACGAACGCUUGCGGCGUGCUUAACACAUGCAAGUCGAACGGAAAGGCCCUGCUUUUGUGGGGUGCUCGAGUGGCGAACGGGUGAGUAACACGUGAGUAACCUGCCCUUGACUUUGGGAUAACUUCAGGAAACUGGGGCUAAUACCGGAUAGGAGCUCCUGCUGCAUGGUGGGGGUUGGAAAGUUUCGGCGGUUGGGGAUGGACUCGCGGCUUAUCAGCUUGUUGGUGGGGUAGUGGCUUACCAAGGCUUUGACGGGUAGCCGGCCUGAGAGGGUGACCGGCCACAUUGGGACUGAGAUACGGCCCAGACUCCUACGGGAGGCAGCAGUGGGGAAUAUUGCACAAUGGGCGGAAGCCUGAUGCAGCAACGCCGCGUGCGGGAUGACGGCCUUCGGGUUGUAAACCGCUUUCGCCUGUGACGAAGCGUGAGUGACGGUAAUGGGUAAAGAAGCACCGGCUAACUACGUGCCAGCAGCCGCGGUGAUACGUAGGGUGCGAGCGUUGUCCGGAUUUAUUGGGCGUAAAGGGCUCGUAGGUGGUUGAUCGCGUCGGAAGUGUAAUCUUGGGGCUUAACCCUGAGCGUGCUUUCGAUACGGGUUGACUUGAGGAAGGUAGGGGAGAAUGGAAUUCCUGGUGGAGCGGUGGAAUGCGCAGAUAUCAGGAGGAACACCAGUGGCGAAGGCGGUUCUCUGGGCCUUUCCUGACGCUGAGGAGCGAAAGCGUGGGGAGCGAACAGGCUUAGAUACUCUGGUAGUCCACGCUGUAAACGGUGGGUACUAGGUGUGGGGUCCAUUCCACGGGUUCCGUGCCGUAGCUAACGCUUUAAGUACCCCGCCUGGGGAGUACGGCCGCAAGGCUAAAACUCAAAGGAAUUGACGGGGCCCCGCACAAGCGGCGGAGCAUGCGGAUUAAUUCGAUGCAACGCGUAGAACCUUACCUGGGUUUGACAUGGAUCGGGAGCGCUCAGAGAUGGGUGUGCCUCUUUUGGGGUCGGUUCACAGGUGGUGCGUGGCUGUCGUCAGCUCGUGUCGUGAGAUGUUGGGUUAAGUCCCGCACCGAGCGCAACCCUUGUUCACUGUUGCCAGCACGUUAUGGUGGGGACUCAGUGGAGACCGCCGGGGUCAACUCGGAGGAAGGUGGGGAUGACGUCAAGUCAUCAUGCCCCUUAUGUCCAGGGCUUCACGCAUGCUACAAUGGCUGGUACAGAGAGUGGCGAGCCUGUGAGGGUGAGCGAAUCUCGGAAAGCCGGUCUCAGUUCGGAUUGGGGUCUGCAACUCGACCUCAUGAAGUCGGAGUCGCUAGUAAUCGCAGAUCAGCAACGCUGCGGUGAAUACGUUCCCGGGGCU